CUUUUGCAGCAUCUUGAAGACCAUGCUUCUUAGUUGUAUUUCAUUGUAUUUUGUAUUUGAUGGCUGAGAAGCCUUUUAGUCAAGAUAUAUUUUUGUACUUCAUUUUGUUGUAUUAAAGCUAUGUGAAGAUGUAUGCUAUUCUAUUUAACUUAUGCACUGCUCCUAUGGAUUCCUUAGCUUUGAAUUUAUUGCUUCCACAUUUGUAAGCCCCAUAUGUAUACUCUGAUUGUGUGUGAAUUUUGAAAGUUGGCCUUGGGUAAUUUCGAAUUACUGGCCAUCAUGGCGCCAUUCUACUAGGGGCAGAAUGGGGUCGUGACAAUAAUAUAUAAGGUAAAAAACACUGAAGUGUUUGAGAAUGGCUUCUUGGAUUUUUAUGAAAAAAUGAGCAAAAAAGUAGAGAUAAUGGGAAGACAAGAAAUACAACAGGGUUAGUUGCUCCAGCUAUUGCUGCAGGUUUAGGUGCCUUAACACAUACAUUGGGCACCCUCGUCAUUGUGAUAGGAGCAAGUGGAUUUGCUAUAGAUGCAGCUGCAACUGCUAUAGAAACUGUUAUCAGUAGUUUUAGAUAAUCUCUUAAUAGUUGUCGAUAUGUUUAGAAAGUUAGAUAUGCAUAGUUUUGGAUGGUUUAAACUUUUUGUACAGUUUAGAACUUAAGGGUAUAGUUUUCAAAUGUUUGGAAUGUAUAGACAAUUGUUGAAUGUUUAUAAUUUAUGGAUAUAGUUUUUUUUUUU